GCAUAUGUUUGUUGCAUAUUGUGAUCCAUCGGAACCAUAUGAGCCUAUAACGGAGUGGCAUAGUGAUGCGCAUAGCCAACCUACCAACAUAGAACAAGAUGAUGAUGAUUAUCUUCGCAACCCAGUACCUGAGAAUGAGCAUGUUGGUGUUGAUGAGGAAAAUAUUUAUUUAGAGGAUGAACUUGUACCUCUUAUCAUGGUUCCUUGUUCCAAUAAAGAAAAGGACAAAGACUAUGUUCCUGAUCAUGAGAGCGAGGCUGAGAGCGAGGUUGAGAGCAAGGAUGAGAGCAAGGAUGAGAGCAUGUCAGAGGUUGAAGUAGAGGAAGAUGAGAAAUAUCACGAGGCAGAUCAUGCACCACACAUUGAAUAUAAUAAAUUAGAUCCUCCAAUGAACGAAGGAAGAAAAUAUCCCAAUAUGACAGAGUUUAAAUUGGCGCUUUCUCAGCAUGCAAUCAAACAUGAAUUUGAGUUUGACACCGAAAAGAGUGCACCACAUAGGUUCAGAGCUUAUUGUUCAAAAAGGGAUGAAGAUAAGUGUCCAUGGAGCAUAUAUGCUUCUACAAUGGAAGAUCAUAUGAAAUCUGUGUUUGAAUUCUAAGUAACUUCUCACCAUAGCCAAAGCUUGGAACCUACAACUACGAAAAAGAGAAAACAUGAUUACUCUACUGGAGCAUCAAAAAGCCAAAUGUUGGAGAAAACAACUAAGGAAAAAGGGAAAGGGAGUAAAUCUGGAUCCGGAGUAGCAAAAAGAUCAAGAACUCAGCCCAUUUGUGUGGCCAACAAGAAAGAAUCUGUUGCUUUGAAAUUACAUGCCAAAAGAAAAAGCAAAGAGGUUGCUGAUAAGUUGCCACACCUUCCUAUGGUGCCACAUGACAGCCCUGCAAUGGGCACAUGAAGCAAAAAAUGAAUCUUGCCAGCCCUGCAAUGAGCACACGAAGCAAAAUGAGGCUUAGCUUGUGAUUCUCAUUGGAUCCCUUUCCAUAUCAUGGUUCAUUUUGGAAACUUUUGAACUGUUUAUGUAAUAUAUAUGUGAACCUGGGCUUUUGUACGUGCUAUAUGUGACCUUCAUGUGUUGUAUUUGACAUGAUGUGA